rnacentral:rRNA from 1 species
CUUGCUCCCUUAGGUCAGCGGCGGACGGGUGAGUAACACGUGGGUAACCUGCCUGUAAGACUGGGAUAACUCCGGGAAACCGGGGCUAAUACCGGAUGCUUGAUUGAACCGCAUGGUUCAAUUAUAAAAGGUGGCUUUUAGCUACCACUUACAGAUGGACCCGCGGCGCAUUAACUAGUUGGUGAGGUAACGGCUCACCAAGGCGACGAUGCGUAGCCGACCUGAGAGGGUGAUCGGCCACACUGGGACUGAGACACGGCCCAGACUCCUACGGGAGGCAGCAGUAGGGAAUCUUCCGCAAUGGACGAAAGUCUGACGGAGCAACGCCGCGUGAGUGAUGAAGGUUUUCGGAUCGUAAAACUCUGUUGUUAGGGAAGAACAAGUACCGUUCGAAUAGGGCGGUACCUUGACGGUACCUAACCAGAAAGCCACGGCUAACUACGUGCCAGCAGCCGCGGUAAUACGUAGGUGGCAAGCGUUGUCCGGAAUUAUUGGGCGUAAAGCGCGCGCAGGCGGUUUCUUAAGUCUGAUGUGAAAGCCCCCGGCUCAACCGGGGAGGGUCAUUGGAAACUGGGGAACUUGAGUGCAGAAGAGGAGAGUGGAAUUCCACGUGUAGCGGUGAAAUGCGUAGAGAUGUGGAGGAACACCAGUGGCGAAGGCGACUCUCUGGUCUGUAACUGACGCUGAGGCGCGAAAGCGUGGGGAGCGAACAGGAUUAGAUACCCUGGUAGUCCACGCCGUAAACGAUGAGUGCUAAGUGUUAGAAGGUUUCCGCCCUUUAGUGCUGCAGCAAACGCAUUAAGCACUCCGCCUGGGGGAGUACGGUCGCAAGACUGAAACUCAAAGGAAUUUGACGGGGGGCCCCCCACAAUCUGUUGGAACCAAAGUGGUUUUAAUU